rnacentral:snRNA from 1 species
AACUUUGCGAAGUGGCAGUAUCGUAGCCAAUGAGGUUUAUCCGAGGCGCGAUUAUUGCUAAUUGAAACAUUGUGGAACAUUCAUAC